rnacentral:rRNA from 1 species
UACGUAGGUGGCAAGCGUUUGUUCGGAAUUACUGGGCGUAAAGCGCACGUAGGCGGACUACUAAGUCAGGGGGUGAAAUCCCCGGGGCUCAACCCCCGGAACUGCCUUUGAUACUGAUAGUCUCGAGUCCGGAAGAGGUGAGUGGAAUUCCGAGUGUAGAGGUGAAAUUCGUAGAUAUUCGGAGGAACACCAGUGGCGAAGGCGGCUCACUGGUCCGGUACUGACGCUGAGGUGCGAAAGCGUGGGGGAGCAAACAGG